rnacentral:rRNA from 1 species
ACAACUUUACGGAGUUGACGAUUGACGGAGCGAAGCGACGUCAAAGCGUUCAUUAAAGUCGAGUUGGCUUAGGGAUACGUUCGUUGGGUAGGGGAGCGUUCUGUAAGCCUGUGAAGGUGUGUCGUGAGGCAUGCUGGAGGUAUCAGAAGUGCGAAUGCUGACAUAAGUAACGAUAAAGCGGGUGAAAAGCCCGCUCGCCGGAAGACCAAGGGUUCCUGUCCAACGUUAAUCGGGGCAGGGUGAGUCGACCCCUAAGGCGAGGCCGAAAGGCGUAGUCGAUGGGAAACGGGUUAAUAUUCCCGUACUUGGUGUUACUGCGAAGGGGGGACGGAGAAGGCUAUGUUGGCCGGGCGACGGUUGUCCCGGUUUAAGCGUGUAGGUGUGUGUUCCAGGUAAAUCCGGUUCACUUUAACACUGAGGCGUGACGACGAGGCACUACGGUGCUGAAGCAACAAAUGCCCUGCUUCCAGGAAAAGCCUCUAAGCAUCAGGUAACAUCAAAUCGUACCCCA